CGGCGUGCUGAAGGCCUGUAUCCUAGGCUACACACUGGGGACUUGUUCCUCUCGACCCUUGCCUAGGGGAAAGUCCCCGGACCUCCGGCAGAGAGUGCCACGUGCCAGGGCACGUAGACUUUCCCCGCUCCCACUGUAAAGCCCGCCAAGAAGCACGUCCCGCUGAGCGGCGUGGUGCGGGGGCGUCGUCCGUCAGCUACUCUAGUUACGCAGGCAGUGCGUCUCGGCGCACCAACCACACGGGGCUCAUUCUCAGCGCGGC
rnacentral:RNase_MRP_RNA from 1 species